UACGUAGGGGGCUAGCGUUGUCCGGAUUUAUUGGGCGUAAAGAGCGUGUAGGCGGCCAUGUAGGUCCGGUGUGAAAACUCGAGGCUUAACCUCGAGAUGUCAUCGGAAACCAUUUGGCUAGAGUCCGGAAGAGGAGAGUGGAAUUCCUGGUGUAGCGGUGAAAUGCGCAGAUAUCAGGAAGAACACCAAUGGCGAAAGCAGCUCUCUGGGACGGUACUGACGCUGAGACGCGAAAGCGUGGGGAGGCGAACAGG
rnacentral:rRNA from 1 species